UUCUGCAGCUUAAUGGUUAGCUGGGGGACAGCAUGGUGGGUUAGCACUUUUGCCUCACAGCAAGAAGGUCAUGGGAUCAAUUCCCACCUGUGGCCUUUCUGUGU